GUCUUCCUAGUUUACCAAGAACCUACAGCUUGCACCUGUAAAGAGGGCGUCUGCCCGGAAAACA
rnacentral:tRNA from 1 species